rnacentral:rRNA from 1 species
UACGGAGGGUGCAAGCGUUAUCCGGAUUCACUGGGUUUAAAGGGUGCGUAGGUGGGCAGUUAAGUCAGUGGUGAAAUCUCCGGGCUUAACCCGGAAGCUGCCAUUGAUACUAUCUGUCUUGAAUAUCGUGGAGGUAAGCGGAAUAUGUCAUGUAGCGGUGAAAUGCUUAGAUAUGACAUAGAACACCAAUUGCGAAGGCAGCUUACUACCCGAAUAUUGACACUGAGGCACGAAAGCGUGGGGAUCAAACAGG